GGUGAUAUAGCUCAGUGAUAGAGUACAUGCUUCAUGCAUAUGAGGCUCUGAGUUUGAUCCCUGGCAUCUCCA
rnacentral:tRNA from 1 species